rnacentral:lncRNA from 1 species
UCUUGGGGACUGGCUUGGUUAUCAAACAUAUGGAGCACAAUAAUGACACAUAGGGACUAACUCCUGACUUGAGGAUGGAUGAGAAUGAAAGACAGAGAGAAAAUAAUCUUUGCUAGACAAAUGAAGAUUAACCAAUGACCUCUGGAAGGAAAUAUUUCUCUUUCAGAUUUCAUUUUCAACUUCCGAAGCAGAACUGAACCAAGACAAUAAAAAAUCCCACACAGCCAGAAAUUGUGUAAGAUUCAAAGCAAACAAAACGUGGAUCUACCUCUAGGGGUCAGGACUUAGCCUAAUUUGAUCAGAGGUCCUUUUGAGAUGCACGCUCAGCAAAGAUGUUAAAGAUGAUCCUACCCUGGCUGAAUCUGUUGUCUACUGAGACUGCAUCUGCCAGAUGUCUG